rnacentral:misc_RNA from 1 species
GUUAUCGUUCCAAAUUGAAUGUGGCAGAAAAAGCCUGAGAUCCCCAACUCCAUUGCCACGCUACAUAGGUCGUUUAUGUUGAAUCAAUGGCGAUGAUUCGUCGUCGUUUGCCCUUCUCUUUUCCGCUUCUCCUCCUCCUCUUCCAGUUCGUCCAAUUCCAUUCCCUACCAUUUGCUCUAGCAUUCCACCCAAAUGAUACCCACAUCCUCCAGGGUGUUUUGAAAGAGAUAUCGCAAAG